rnacentral:sRNA from 1 species
UUUUUAAUUCUUAGUUUUCAUGGAAAGUUUUCGAGAUCCAAUGAUUAUGUGAUAUACCGAGUUUAAUUUUGACGGAAUAAUGUUAUUUGAUUAUUGCAACAGCCUUUUUUUCUUCGCCUGCUUUUCAAAAAUGGCUGAAGCAUGGAAAAUAAGUCUGCCAUUCAAAAGAAUUGAGAACUGGAUGUGCUCCGGAGAUCCAGCCUCGUUCUGCCAAGUGUAGAUGGACAGUUCGUCGUUUGCUCUGCUUUCACCCACAUAGCUGAUGGUCCAUAGGAGAGGGGCAUAUAGACACAUGUCCUCGUUGAAGUGCACGUAGUGACCACUCAAAGACGCAUGCGUGGCAGCAUCCAUGCAAAAUUUGAUGUACGACGAUUGGUUCACGUGGUUGUUUCGAUCCGAGUCACUGUGGCGCGGAAUCAAAUCGAACUUGAAAGCGUUAUCUCGAAUUUUUGGCAAAGCGUCUCUGGGCAAAGCUUGUGUUGAUCCGUAGGAAUUCCUGUAUGAGCCGUAUUUUUCGUAGAACCAUUCCGGAAACGUGACAGGACGUCUCGUUUUGCGAGACAUCCGGACCAUUUUAAUCAAAUUUUCACCAUAAACCUCCCUAGUGUUUCCAUCUUUGAACUCAAUAACAAACUGUACCGACGUUUUCCCGACUUCUACUAACCUCAAAUCAAACAACAUCGUAAAUUUCACGUUCAUGCCUUUUUCAUGAAGCUUCGGGAUUAGUUUCAGUUGUUGUUUGACAAUCACCAAAGCCGCUUCCCUACCAUCGAUUUUCGUAAAGUCUAUGAAUCCAUUAUACAAUGCAAGGAUACGGGCUGCUUCGAACAUUUUCGAUACAUACCAUAUUGCCCAAUGACCUAAAAUAAAAAUGCAAUGUUGGCAAAAUGAAAACAUUGAAAGCAUUUUAUCAUCAAAACAAUUGCUUAACACUAAAAAGUUAUAACAUGUUAUUAAAAGCAAAUAUAAG